rnacentral:rRNA from 1 species
AACAGGAUUAGAUACCCUGGUAGUCCACGCCGUAAACGUUGGGCGCUAGGUGUGGGGGCCAUUCCACGGUCUCCGUGCCGCAGCUAACGCAUUAAGCGCCCCGCCUGGGGAGUACGGCCGCAAGGCUAAAACUCAAAGGAAUUGACGGGGGCCCGCACAAGCGGCGGAGCAUGUUGCUUAAUUCGAUGCAACGCGAAGAACCUUACCUAGGCUUGACAUGCACGGAAAUCUCGCAAAGAUGCGGGGUGCCUUUGGCGUCGUGCACAGGUGGUGCAUGGUUGUCGUCAGCUCGUGUCGUGAGAUGUUGGGUUAAGUCCCGCAACGAGCGCAACCCUCGUUCCAUGUUGCCAGCACGUGAUGGUGGGGACUCAUGGGAGACUGCCGGGGUCAACUCGGAGGAAGGUGGGGAUGACGUCAAAUCAUCAUGCCCCUUAUGUCUAGGGCUGCAAACAUGCUACAAUGGCCGGUACAAAGGGCUGCGAUACCGCGAGGUGGAGCGAAUCCCAAAAAGCCGGUCUCAGUUCGGAUUGGGGUCUGCAACUCGACCCCAUGAAGUUGGAGUCGCUAGUAAUCGCAGAUCAGCAACGCUGCGGUGAAUACGUUCCCGGGCCUUGUACACACCGCCCGUCACGUCACGAAAGUCGGUAACGCCCGAAGCCGGUGGCCCAACCCCUUGUGGGAGGGAGCCGUCGAAGGCGGGAUCGGCGAUUGGGACGAAGUCGUAACAAGGUAGC